UGGCAUAAUUUUUUUUUCCAGGGCUGCUUUUUUUCCCAGGGAUUCACAAUUUGGCUCUGCCAGUGAGUGCACUUUACUGCUGAAUCAUCUGUGUGAGCUGCCGCACACUUUAGCCCUGUUACACGCGUCUGGGAGCUGCUGUUGACAGGUACUAAUAGUCUAGAGAUUGGGACAUGGGGUAUAUGCUCAGCUAUCUGUAUAAUACUAUAGUGCUGUUCUCUGUAUAAUACAGAUCUCUGUGUGUAUAAUAUCCAGGGAUAGUCAGUGCUUCCUGUAUAGUGCUGCUCUUUGUAUAAUACAGGUCUGUGUCUGUAUAAUAUCCUGGAACAGUCAGUGUUCCCUGUAUAGCGCUGCUCUCUGUCUUGGGAUAUUAUACACAGACCUGUAUUAUACAGAGAGCAGUACUAUACAGGGAGCACUGACUCUCCUAGGAUAUUAUACACACAGCUAUGUAUUAUACAGAGAGCAGCACUGUACAGGGAAUGCUGACUGUCCCAAUUUAUUAUACACACAACCCUGUAUUAUACAGAGAGCACUGACUGUCCAGGGAUAUUAUACAGACACAGACCUGUAUUAUACAAAGAGCAGCACUAUACAGGAAGCACUGACUAUCCCUGGAUAUUAUACACACAGAGAUCUGUAUUAUACAGAGAACAGCACUAUAGUAUUAUACAGAUAGCUGAGCAUAUACCCCAUGUCCCAAUCUCUAGACUAUUAGUAUCCUAGAUACGCCACUGAUAGGGAGAGGUAUUAGCAGUAGAAAGUGGGAAGUGCUCAUGCCAUUGUACAGAACACUGGUGAGACCUCACUUGGAGUAUUGUACGCAGGAUAUUGAUACUUUGGAGCGAGUUCAGAGAAGGGCUACUAAACUGGUUCAUGGAUUGCAGGAUAAAACUUACAAGGAAAGGUUAAAGGAUCUUAACAUGCAUAGCUUGGAGGAAAGAAGAGACAUGGGGGAUAUGAUAGAAACAUUUAAAUACAUAAAGGGAUUCAACACAGUAAAGGAGGAUACUAUAUUUAAAAGAAGAAAAACUACCACAACAAGAGGACAUAGUCUUAAAUUAGAGGGGCAAAGGUUUAAAAAGAAUAUCAGGAAUUAUUACUUUACUGAGAGGGUAGUCGAUACAUGGAAUAGCCUUCCAGCUGAAGUGGUAGAGGUUAACAGAGAAGGAGUAUAAGCAUGCGUGGGAUAAGCAUAGGGCUAUCCUAGAUAUAAGAGACUCAUUUAGAAAAUUGGGCAGACCAGAUGGGCUGAAUGGUUCUUAUCUGCCGUCACAUUCUAUGUUUCUAUGUUAAGGCUGCCUUUCAGAGAUAAGGCAGUGUUUACAUUACUGCCUAGUAACACCUCUAGUGGCAGUCAGUCAGACGGCAACAGAGGUGCCUUCUAGUCCAGUGCUGCACAAUGAGAUUCAGCGUUUCUGAGGAGAUGCUGAUUGGCGCCAUAUUUUGCCACACAUGCGCAUUAGCCUCCCAAUGCUUUCCUCUGGGAAAGCAUUAGAUUGGCAGAGAUCAUCAAUAUUUUAAUACAUUUGUAUUCCUGACACUAUAGUGUUUCUUUAAGUUAGCAGGACAUUCCAUGCUGGUAUAUGAAUAUUAAGGACUAGACUGGGAUGACUUUAAUUGAUGCCACUUGGCCUAGAGAGGUUAAAGUUGUAUUUAUAAUAAAUGGUGUUCACCAACCCUAACACUGGCCAUAAAGGCUGCAGCUGGAGUUUACCCAUUGCACACAGCGCUCUAACACAUGUGCUGCUGUUUAUUUUAAACAGCAAAGUGAAAGCUUGGGAAUGGAAACAAGGACAGCACCUGUGAGCUAAGAACUCAUUGGAACACUUGUUUACAGUGUGAUUGCCAGUCUGCCCUUACUGCAAGGGCAAGCUCCAUUCAUACAAGUGUGAAUUUGGCACCAUGCACUUCGCUGUCCUGUGAAUUACUAAGGCAGAAUAACCCCAUUGUUGAGAAAAACGUGGGUGUGCUUCCAGACUGGCCAACUCAUUUGUAGUCUUCAUGAUUAUUUACAUCCAAGCAAGUUACUUGGCUGUUCAUGGGAGAAGGGAGGAGAGAUUCUCAUAAUCAGCAAUUUUCCACAUCGUUCUACGGUCUAAUUUAUUACAUACCAGUGGAGAAAUGUUCUAAAUCUCCCAAGCAUACAUAUUCAAAGCAGAGAAACAGCUUUUCCCCUGUAUAAUUCUAAUAACAUACCUUAUAAAAAGGCUAAAGACAGGAACAAUGGAGGUCGUGUAUAAAGAGUAAUUCUAUGGAAACAUUCUAAAAGUGGAACAAUCACCAUGGAAACCAAUGGAAUGUUCGAGUAAUUGUUCCACUUCUAGAACCUUGCCCCAGAAUUGCAUUUUUAUACAAACCUCCCAUUGACUGUAAGGUUACAUAAAGUUACAAAAUUAGGUUGGAAAAACCCACAAACGUGUCAAUUUCAUUGUAAUUAUAACUGAUGGUACAAAAACAAAGACGAGAAAGUGACACAAACACUAAUAGCGUUAAAGACCACAUUUGCAAGCUCAUUUCAAAUGAAACAACGUAGCUAUAGCUGCUGAUUUUAUUUUUUAUUCUUUAGGUGAAAAAGCUAAUUGUGUUUAUUUAUUUAUCACAUAUAAAUGUGUCCCACUUUCUUUAACCCCUUAAGGACAGGGGCAAUUGGGGUUCAACUUCUAAAUCGAAAACAAAACCUAGAAUUUGUGCUAUGUGUUUGUUCUGCUGCAAUUUAAAGGUUUCUCUUUAAUUUAACCCAUACAUAUUAUAUAUUGUUUUUUAAUAUGCAGAUAUUGCUUUCUUCUAAAAUACUAUAUGUACACAUAGUAUAGGAUAGCAUAACUUUGAGGAGCUGUUUAAGCAGUAAGUAUUGCAAGUUAAAUGAUUUUCUCCCACGUUAAAAUUAGUGUAUGAACCACCGAUAUUGGGGUACUGUAGUAGUGGUGGGUUUAACACAAUAUGGCCAUAUUGUGUAAUUGUAUUCCCAUAUCUGUAUGCUAAGAGAGGUGAUUUUAAGUAGCCUUGAUUUAAAACUGUGUAUUUUUUGUGUAUGCUAUUCCAUAAUCUGUAUUUUGUAUAAAUUCUGGUCUACACAGCAGCACCACUACUGAGAAAUGCAAGUUCUGGGUGUGCCCCCUAGUACCUUUUUUUUCCUCCAUAUAUUUUUUAAUGUCAAUCUUCAAAAAAUAUAUCCCAUCAUCAGUCUUUCUCUCUUUAAUUUCAUUUGUUUUCAAUUUGUGAACCUGGUUGGCUGCUUUGAUAGGAGACUGUAUCAGUUGAGGCAAAACAUCUGUCUUUCAAAUUUCUGCAGAUUUCACAAUAUCUAUGUGCAAUGCAUGACGGGAGAGAUAUGUUUGUUAUUUCUUUGGAAAAAUGCCUUUUUUAGUCUUUAGCUACUGCAUCUCAAUUAUAACAUUCCUUGGGUUGAACAUCACUUGAAGCAAAUAAAAAAUUCUAAAGUUCAAUUCCAGGUUAAUAAAAAAAAAAAAAAGUUAAUAUUAAUAUUUUCAAAUAAAAUCUGUUUUUGGUUUUUUUAGGGGGUGGGGGGGUUUACGGAGUUGCAGAAGUACACCUUCAAUGGCAACGGCUAAUAAAUUAAAUAAAUUUACAGAAACUUGAGAACAUAACUUUGAAGUAGCUAAAUCACCCUUCUAAAUGCAAUGGUGAGUCAUUUUAGGUUAAUUGCCAAUUAGUAGUUUGAAUAUACUGGAGUUCUGACAAUUAGCACAUCUCAAGUUUUCAGCAGAACUUGAAGCAAUCAGUGGCCAAAUAGUCUUCCGCCAAACUGCUGAUAGAUCAGUUACAAAAACUGGCAAAGCUACUGGAGGUUUCAAGGGGCACGAUCUCGAACGAAUAUCAACCUAAGCCAUAGAUGGACAUCCUUUAGGAAAAGAGGAUUAGGGAUUGCAAGUCGAAAGUACAACACAAACUACAUCAACAUUCUUCUCGCUCUCAACUACAAUAUACAAAGUUUAUUGCCAACUGUUAAACAUGCCUGGUUAACUGCAAUUUAAUGUGCGGGCAGCUUAUGGGAGGCAAUCAUAGAAAUGAUCUAUGUAAUGCCCAGACCUAAACAAAGAUCCUUAAAGGGAAAAGUCACAUCCCUGGAUUUUCAAUACUACGUUUAAUAACCCCCGAUAUUUAAAUGGUUACUGUAACCCUUAGUACAUUUUUUUUAAACAAAUAAUUAUUCUUUAGGUCUCUCCCCCCUUCUCCCUCCCAAAUGCUAAAAUAAACUAGCAAAAUAGGAUUAACUCACCUGAAAUCCGUUAGGAGCAUUGGAUCUUUAUUUUUCAACAUCUUAGAACUUUGACACUGGCUGAAAGCAUCGUAUCAGUAGCAAGGGUAAACACAAUUUAUUAAUCUGUUUAAUAAUCUGCAAUAGUGAAUAUGCAACAAAGUACUGGGAUGGAUUUUUUCAAGUGCCCUAGGGGGACAUAUCUUAUCAAAAAAAAAAAUGGAAUCAAUAAUACAAAAACAAGUAUAUAGAUAAUAAUUCAGGGCAGUUAAUAUGUAUAAAAUACAAUAUUUCAAUGUGUUCAUGAUAUUAACAAUACUAUAUUUUGUGUUUUAGAAGUCUUUAUGUUUAAUAAUCAUAAAUUACAGUCACAGCACGUCUUUUAAUGGUUAAUAUAUUUAUUUUAUUCAGUUUAUUUUUGCUUGUAUGCAUAAAAGACAUAUACUAUCUGUACAUUAGGUACAUUUAGCAUGCAAUAUAUUAUUAGAUACUAGAUGGACAGACAGAUGAAAAGAGUAAAAUAUGCACAUACGCGGAAAUAUAUUUAAUGUUAAUUCCACUGACAAACAGUUUAUUUAAGCUAUGACAUUAAAAAGUAGUUAGUAAUCUCAUGAUAAAGAAAAUCAAUGUUAAAACAAGGUGUUACAAUCAUGGCAGUGUUAUUUGAUAAGUUUAAAGACAUCAGAUGAUGUGAUAUAAAUGUCCAUGGGCUACUAUAGAAAUUCUGUGAAUGUUAACACCACAUUUUCUCCAUAUAGAUAAAAAGAAUGUUCUCUCUGCAUCAAGAAAAAGCUUGCUUGGACCAGCUACAUCCAGAGCUAAGCUGCUUGAACAGUAAUCCUCGGCUUCCCAGUGGCAUUCUUUGACUCUGCUGACGCCAAUUGAAGAUAUUGAGAAUAUGUUUGUAUAUGUGGGUUAAAUAACUUCAAGUACCCAGAGCAGCAAAAAAU